UACGGAGGGGACUAGCGUUGUUCGGAUUUACUGGGCGUAAAGAGCGCGUAGGCGGUUUAUUAAGUUGGAAGUGAAAGCCCAGAGCUCAACUCUGGAACUGCUUCCAAAACUGAUAAGCUAGAGUAUGGGAGGGGACAGUGGAAUUCCUAGUGUAGAGGUGAAAUUCUUAGAUAUUAGGAGGAACACCGGUGGCGAAAGCGACUGUCUGGAACAUUACUGACGCUGAGGUGCGAAAGCGUGGGGAGCAAACAGG
rnacentral:rRNA from 1 species